UACGUAGGGGGCAAGCGUUAUCCGGAUUUACUGGGUGUAAAGGGAGCGUAGACGGCGGUGCAAGUCUGGAGUGAAAGGCAGGGGCCCAACCCCUGGACUGCUCUGGAAACUGUAGUGCUGGAGUGCAGGAGAGGUAAGUGGAAUUCCUAGUGUAGCGGUGAAAUGCGUAGAUAUUAGGAGGAACACCAGUGGCGAAGGCGGCUUACUGGACUGUAACUGACGUUGAGGCUCGAAAGCGUGGGGAGCAAACAGG
rnacentral:rRNA from 1 species